AUGAAUUGGUGUAAAUUCAUUGCCGACUUCCUGCAUGAUGCAUUCUUAACUAAGAUGUACCAAAAGGGAUGUCGCUUGCAUCUAAUGCUCAUGUACGUCGAUAGUCUUGAUUUGUCCACUGUGGACUUCACUGAGAUAGGAGGCCCGCCGCCUCCACAUAAGUUUGUUGUCUCUGCAUGGACGUAUGAUGCUGCCAAGGCUGUACUUGCUGCAAACAGGGUAUCUGAUACAAAAUAUGGGAAACUGGAGCUGAUGGCCAAGCAUGCUAUAGACUACAGUGUGUUUGGUGGGUCACAAAACUUUGGCAAGUGGAUGGAUGUGCAUUCAGCUCCAUCUUGUCCCGCUGAGAUAGUCAAGCAUGUUUAUUUGUUUUCUGAAAAUAUUUUUUAUAUUGCAUUUGAUUGCUCUUUUAUGGUUGUUCUACCUUAUUUUUCCAAUCACGUGUCUUAA
rnacentral:rRNA from 1 species